AUUGAACGCUGGCGGAAUGCUUUACACAUGCAAGUCGAACGGCAGCACGGACUUCGGUCUGGUGGCGAGUGGCGAACGGGUGAGUAAUGUAUCGGAACGUGCCCAGUCGUGGGGGAUAACGUAGUGAAAAUUACGCUAAUACCGCAUACGAUCUAUGGAUGAAAGCGGUGGGUCGCAAGACCUCGCGCGAUUGGAGCGGCCGAUAUCAGAUUAGGUAGUUGGUGGGGUAAAGGCCCACCAAGCCAACGAUCUGUAGCUGGUCUGAGAGGACGACCAGCCACACUGGAACUGAGACACGGUCCAGACUCCUACGGGAGGCAGCAGUGGGGAAUUUGGACAAUGGGCGAAAGCCUGAUCCAGCCAUUCCGCGUGCAGGAUGAAGGCCCUCGGGUUGUAAACUGCUUUUGUACAGAACGAAAAGGUUUCUACUAAUACUAGGAGCUCAUGACGGUACUGUAAGAAUAAGCACCGGCUAACUACGUGCCAGCCGCCGCCGUAA
rnacentral:rRNA from 1 species